UUCAAACACCGGUCCCCGUACGAUUACCGAAGUUAAGCAACCUAGUCAGUACCAGGUUGGGUAACCGCUUGAGAAUACCUGGUAUUGUAA